UGUAAUUUGUAGAGGAUGCUUUUGGAGAGGUGUCUUCCGAGUUCGCUGGAACGAAACGCCAUAGAGGGUGAGAGCCCCGUCUGGGCGGACACCAAUGCCUUUGUACAUCUCCUUCGACGAGUCGAGUAGUUUGGGAAUGCUGCUCUAAGUGUGAGGUAUAUGUCUUCUAAAGCUAAAUACCGGCUAGAGACCGAUAUCGCAUAAGUAGAGUGAUCGAAAGACGAAAAGCACUUUGAAAUGAGAGUUAAACAGUACGUGAAAUUGUUGAAAGGGAAGCGCUCAUGACCAGACUUGGGCUUGGUUGAUCAACUUGAGUUCUCCCGUGUGCACUCGUCCUCGUCCAGGCCAGCAUCAGUUCGCUGCGGGGGAUAAAGGUUACGGGAAUGUGGCUCCCUCGGGAGUGUUAUAGCCCGUUGCGUAAUACCCUGCGGU
rnacentral:rRNA from 1 species